GGAGGAAUAUUGGGCAAUGGGGGAAACCCUGACCCAGCAACGCCGCGUGAAGGAAGAAGGCCUUCGGGUUGUAAACUUCUGUGACAGGGGACGAAAGCAAUGACGGUACCCUGGGAGGAAGCCACGGCAAACUACGUGCCAGCAGCCGCGGUAAUACGUAGGUGGCGAGCGUUGUCCGGAAUCACUGGGCGUAAAGGGCGCGUAGGCGGUUUUGCAAGUCGCAUGUGAAAGACCAGGGCUUAACCUUGGGAGGUCAUGCGAAAGCGUGGGGAGCAAACA
rnacentral:rRNA from 1 species